rnacentral:rRNA from 1 species
AUGCAACAUCUUCUCGCUGGUUGCUUGUUCUCGCGACAGGUAUAACACAAGAUCCUAUCUUGGUGCCAUGCCACUGCCACCCUUCCCAGCCCGGACUGUGAGUUCCGCGAGUGGUUCUCCGCCUCCAUACAUGACUCUCCGACCGCCCUUCGCCGAGGGCUUGCCACCAUCAUCAUCCUCACUACCUGGAGACUUUGGAAGCACUGCAAUGACUGUGUGUUCAACGCCGUCAGCCCCUCUAUCGCCAGAGUCUCUGAUUGCAUCAAGGAAGACGCCCGCGCUUGGGUGCACGCCGGGGCCAAUGGGCUUGGCCAACUGAUUGACGAGACGUAG